CUUGAAUCUGACACAAUUUUUUAUAUCUAUAUCAUGGCAUAAGAGGAAGUAGAGAACAGUACAAUUUCUGGGGUGAGAGUUUUUGGCUUGAAUUGUUAAUUUAUCAGUUCCAUUUCUGAACCUCUUAUGGUAUAUUAUAUGAACCUGUGUGUCUCUGAAGUCUGAAAUGAUUCAGGUAAAACAUUCAAGAAUAGAAAGAGAAAGAAGGCACUGACAGUCUUCUUCUUGUGAUGGAUGCGGUGGUCCAGAAUGAUGGCUCAAUAAUUACUUAAUUAGCCGGGAAAAAAAAGUAGAGAGAGAAACAUAUAUAUCGUAAUCAGAACAGCAAAGUCUUGUUUAUCCAUGGAAAAAAAUGAAAAGAAUCAAAGAGGAAAAAUAAUUAAUAAAUACAGGAAUUAAUCAAAGAAAAUGUUGUGAGAUAAUAUAGAAGUAGUUUUAAUUAAUUAAUACUAUCCGAUUGAUGUGUAUACAAAUUAUAAGGGAAACACAAAAGCAAAAUUUGUUGAGAAUAUAGCUCCGGUAACAUUAUGAAUAUCCUGCCGCAGAUAUUUACACUACUGACUACUCCACCAAGGAGAAGAAAUAAGGAAAAUGGUGUAUCUUCUUCCUUGGCUAGCUAGCUUGCUAGUCAUGCCAACAAAGGAGCAUGACCACACAUCUCCUUAUAAUAUAAAGCCUAGCCCUUUGCUCUCUAAGGGCAGCUCCGAGACCUCUGCUAGAAAUCCUUCUCUUUGAGCUUCCCAUGGUAGCACUGCUCAUCUUCAUCUCUACUGAUAAACUGCAGCUUCUUCUUUUUUUGUUAAUGUACCUCAGU
rnacentral:misc_RNA from 1 species